GCCAGGAGCCACCACAGCCCUGUCUGUGACUCUCAGCUCCCGAGGCUGGGCUCUUCCCCAGGGAAGCUGCAUGACCAUGGCCACGUACAGGAGGUAGGAGACAGAGGCCUCCACGGUGGACGAUCGUGGCGUGAAGUCCACGUUGACCACGUUGUCGGUGCUGGGGGAGCGGAUGAAGGCCAGGGACCCGCGGCGCUCUCCCUGUGGUCAGGAAGCAGCCCGGAGACCCUAAAACUCCAUUGGCCUCAUGUCCAGAACUGAAUCAGCCAGUGCCGGAGCCUGCUGCAGCCCCGACCCGGCAGAGCAAGCGGCUCUGCUACCUCAGCCACGUAGCUGAUGGCAUCCUUCAGGUUCAGCUCGUGGAAGACAUUCAGGAUCCGGUCUCGAGACUUCUGGGCCGACCGUCUCAUGAGGACCCUGCUGAGGAACUUCCUG
rnacentral:antisense_RNA from 1 species